GGCGGAAUAGUUCAUUCGGUAGAACAGUGGGGUCAUAAUCCAAAGGUGAAAGGUUCAAAUCCUUUUUUCGCUA
rnacentral:tRNA from 1 species